rnacentral:rRNA from 1 species
CCCUGCCCUUUGUACACACCGCCCGUCGCUCCUACCGAUUGGAUGUGCUGGUGAAGCGUUGGGAUUGGCACUUUUCGGUGGCAACACUGAUUGGAGCCGAGAACAUCGUUAAACCCUCCCAUCUAGAGGAAGGAGAAGUCGUAACAAGGU